rnacentral:rRNA from 1 species
GACAGAGGAGGCGAGCGUUAUCCGGAGUCAUUGGGCGUAAAGGGUACGUAGGCGGCUAGUCAAGUCUGAGGUUAAAGACCACAGCUUAACUGUGGGAAGGCCUUGGAAACUGACUGGCUAGAGUGGGGCAGGGGUUGCGGGAAUUCCCGGUGUAGCGGUGAAAUGCGUAGAUAUCGGGAAGUACACCUGAGGCGAAAGCGCGCAACUGGGCCCUAACUGACGCUGAGGUACGAAAGCUAGGGGAGCGAAUGGGAUUAGAUACCCCAGUAGUCCUAGCCGUAAACGAUGGACACUAGACGUUGGCCGUACCAACCCGGUCAGUGUCGUAGCUAACGCGUUAAGUGUCCCGCCUGGGGAGUACGCACGCAAGUGUGAAACUCAAAG